rnacentral:rRNA from 1 species
AGCAGCCGCGGUAAUUCCAGCUCCAAUAGCGUAUAUUAAAGUUGUUGCAGUUAAAAAGCUCGUAGUUGAAUUUCGGGAUCAUCAGGUUGGUCGUGCCUCUGGUAUGUACUGAUUUCGAUGGUUCCUCCUUCUUGAAGAACCGUAAUGCCAUUAAUUUGGUGUUGCGGGGAAACUGGACUGUUACUUUGAAAAAAUUAGAGUGUUUAAAGCAGGCUAACGCUUGAAUACAUUAGCAUGGAAUAAUGAAAUAGGACGUUCGAUCUUAUUUUGUUGGUUUCUAGGAUUGACGUAAUGAUUAAUAGGGAUAGUUGGGGGCAUUAGUAUUCAAUUGUCAGAGGUGAAAUUCUUGGAUUUAU